rnacentral:rRNA from 1 species
GAUGAACGCUGGCGGCGUGCUUAACACAUGCAAGUCGAACGAAGCACUUUGGACGGAUUCUUCGGAUGAAGUCCUUAGUGACUGAGUGGCGGACGGGUGAGUAACGUGUGGGUAACCUGCCUCAUACAGGGGGAUAACAGUUAGAAAUGGCUGCUAAUACCGCAUAGGCGCACGGUACCGCAUGGUACAGAGUGAAAAACUCCGGUGGUAUGAGAUGGACCCGCGUUGGAUUAGCUAGUUGGCAGGGUAACGGCCUACCAAGGCGACGAUCCAUAGCCGGCCUGAGAGGGUGGACGGCCACAUUGGGACUGAGACACGGCCCAGACUCCUACGGGAGGCAGCAGUGGGGAAUAUUGCACAAUGGGGGAAACCCUGAUGCAGCGACGCCGCGUGAGCGAAGAAGUAUUUCGGUAUGUAAAGCUCUAUCAGCAGGGAAGAAAAUGACGGUACCUGACUAAGAAGCCCCGGCUAACUACGUGCCAGCCGCCGCCGUAAAAC